AUGUGUUCUUGUGUGAGAGAGAGGGCGGUGUUUCUCACUUUCGCUACGCUGCCCAAUUUUAUAAGACAGGCGAAGGGUGCGUGCAGGAGGAAUCUUCGACGCGAGUGCGCGCACGGGCACGCGCACGAGGACACGCGCUCACAGCUGUCUGAGAGAAAAAGAGAAAGCGAGAGAGGCAGGGAGCAUUUGCGGCGGCCUCGCGCUUAUAAUGGCUGCCGGGAAAAGCAGAGCAGAGGAAAAUCGGCUACAUUGGGAAUAACGUCGUGCACAGAGACAAAUAUGCUCAAGCUGUUUCAAAAACCAAAGGUAAUUACAAUAGCAAAACACAACGUCCUAUUAUAAAUAUUAAAUGGAUUCAGAGUUGACUCUUAUGUUGUGUGAAUGUGAACUCUUAACACUAAUGUUGCUCUGAAAGAGGACGUUAUUAUGGAUCGCAUAACACUAAAAUAUUGUCUGUUAUUCUAAACAAGUUCUUGGAAACCUCUUUAAGACAAACUCUUAUGCAGCAGAUAAGUGAGAUAAAGCCCACUCUUGUAUUAUCUUGAAGAGCCAGACUAUUGACAAGUGGAUUUCAUUGUGUAGCUAGCGUCAGUCCAGGCACCACCCACUAGACAGAAAGCAGCUGAUAUCUGACCCACGUGAAAAGCAAGCAACCACAGUUGUUUUUAAUGUAAAAUCUGAAAACUGAUACUGCCACGAUAUUUGGUUGUUGUACCUCACAUUUCAGCUUGUUCAAAUAAUGUUAAUGGGAAAUGAUUAGAGGUAACUCACUGGCUACAUUUGGUGACGCUUUGCUACUCAUUACCUCAAACAAAACUGAAUAUCUUUCAAAGAUGAAUGUUUGUAAAUUCUGUGACUAGCCUCAUGCUAUUAAACCGUUUCCUUUCCUGAGAGACUGAAAAACCCUUGUACACCCCUGACUCCCAGAAGCAGUGCAGCGGUCAGCCAGUGCAAGUUGAAUUGGCAGCUCUUGCCAGUUUAGAGUAGUGCAUGUAUCGGACAGUCUGUCUGAGACUGAGACUAAUUAUUGUAGAACAAGUGAUGUUAAGAGAAACCUGAUACAACAGCUUGCUGCUCUAAUGGGCCAUAGCAGGUUUAUUUAUUUUUUUCUGCUGUACAGUUGAAAUCAACAUUGCAGAUGAUAUUGAUAUCAGUGUCAUGCCAGAUGGAUCCCUAGUGGUGAGCUUUGUGUGCUUAAUAAUUCUCUGCUUCAAUUGUCAUGCCUGCUUUGGAAUAAAAUUAAAUUCUGGCUGAUACA
ensembl:lncRNA